rnacentral:rRNA from 1 species
GAUGAACGCUGGCGGCGUGCCUAAUACAUGCAAGUCGAGCGAACAGAUGAGGAGCUUGCUCCUCUGACGUUAGCGGCGGACGGGUGAGUAACACGUGGAUAACCUACCUAUAAGACUGGGAUAACUUCGGGAAACCGGAGCUAAUACCGGAUAAUAUAUUGAACCGCAUGGUUCAAUAGUGAAAGACGGUUUUGCUGUCACUUAUAGAUGGAUCCGCGCCGCAUUAGCUAGUUGGUAAGGUAACGGCUUACCAAGGCAACGAUGCGUAGCCGACCGGAGAGGGUGAUCGGCCACACUGGAACUGGAACACGGUCCAGACUCCUACGGGAGGCAGCAGUAGGGAAUCUUCCGCAAUGGGCGAAAGCAUGACGGAGCAACGCCGCGUGAGUGAUGAAGGUCUUCGGAUCGUAAAACUCUGUUAUUAGGGAAGAACAAAUGUGUAAGUAACUAUGCACGUCUUGACGGUACCUAAUCAGAAAGCCACGGCUAACUACGUG